UGGUUAAAUAUUAUGGCUUAUGACUACCAUGCACCAAAGCGGGAUAACGUCAGGCUGCUCAUGCGGCUUUGUAUGAUCCAGCGAGCCAGCUCAAUACACAUUAUGGUAUCCGCACCUGGAUCUCUAGGAGCUUAUCUGCAGGCAAGUUGGUUUUGGGGUUGCCUUUCUAUGGCUAUGCGUGGAAUCUUGUCGAUUCCCAGGACAACGCCAUAGGUGCACCAGCCACAGGUCCAACCAACACAACUGAAGCAGCUAUGAUCGAUAAGCCAAUCAAAGAUCAUAUUUGGAUGUAUGGGGCUGCUGUAAUGUACAAUUCCACUUAUGUGGAAAAUUAUUGCAUUGCUGAAUCAUUUUCGAUUGGUUUUGAUGAUGUGGAGGCUGUCAGAACUAAGGUUUCUUAUGCCAUGGAAAUGACGUUGCUUAGUUGCUAUGUCUAGCAAGUACCCAACCAUGAUGACAAUUGGGUGCUUUCUCUAGCUGCAGCAGAGGAGCUUGAUGAUGAAAAUCUGAUCCAAAAGGGGGGAUUGUUAGUGAUUGUUUUGGUUUCGAGUAGUGCUACGAUUGUUCUCCUCCUAGGCUCAAUGUGGGUGAUGUGUUAUUUGAGGAAGAGAGAGAUCAAAUUUACAGGGACUGUACUGAAGGCAAGGAAAGGACAAGAAGCCAAAGUAAAUGGUAUAGCAACUACUGAUAACUUAAACACCAAUGUUUCGGAUCUUUAAGUCUAUAGUUAUGCUGAUAUUGAGAUGGCUACGAAUAAAUUUCCAUUUGAAAAUAAGCUAGGAGAGGGUGGAUAUGGUCUUGUUUACAAGGGUGUACUAGCAAACAAACAGGAAAUAGCAGUGAAAAAACUUUCAAAAGCUUCAACACAGGGGUUUGAGGAGUUCAAGAAUGAGGUUACACUAACAGCAAAACUACAACAUGUUAAUCUUGUGAGAGUAUUGGGAUUUUGCAUCGAAAGGAAUGAACAAAUGUUGAUCUACGAGUACAUGCCAAACAAAAGCUUGGACUUCUACCUCUUUGGUAGGAAUCCUAUCUGUUCAUAAUUAGCAUAAUGUAAUUUGUUUUGCAAUGUUUCUUAAAUUUUUAGUGUUGAAAGUAGAAACAAAUAUUCAUGC